GAGGGUAUAGCUCAAGUGGUAGAGCACAAGCUUAGUGUGCACAAGGCCCUGGGUUCAAUCCCCAGUACCUCUC
rnacentral:tRNA from 1 species